GACGAACGCUGGCGGCGUGCUUAACACAUGCAAGUCGAACGGAAAGGCCCUGCUUUUGUGGGGUGCUCGAGUGGCGAACGGGUGAGUAACACGUGAGUAACCUGCCCUUGACUUUGGGAUAACUUCAGGAAACUGGGGCUAAUACCGGAUAGGAGCUCCUGCUGCAUGGUGGUGGUUGGAAAGUUUCGGCGGUUGGGUAUGGACUCGCGGCUUAUCAGCUUGUUGGUGGGGUAGUGGCUUACCAAGGCUUUGACGGGUAGCCGGCCUGAGAGGGUGACCGGCCACAUUGGGACUGAGAGACGGCCCAGACUCCUACGGGAGGCAGCAGUGGGGAAUAUUGCCCAAUGGGCGGAAGCCUGAUGUAGCAACGCCGCGUGCGGAAUGACGGCCUUCGGGUUGUAACCCGCUUUCGCCUGUGACGAAGCGGGAGUGACGGUACUGGGUAAAGAAGCACCGGCUAACUACGUG
rnacentral:rRNA from 1 species